GAUGAACGCUGGCGGCGUGCUUAACACAUGCAAGUCGAACGAAGCACUUUAACCUGAUUCUUCGGAUGAAGGUUUUUGUGACUGAGUGGCGGACGGGUGAGUAACGCGUGGGUAACCUGCCUCAUACAGGGGGAUAACAGUUAGAAAUGACUGCUAAUACCGCAUAAGACCACAGAGCCGCAUGGCUCGGUGGGAAAAACUCCGGUGGUAUGAGAUGGACCCGCGUCGGAUUAGGUAGUUGGUGGGGUAACGGCAUACCAAGCCAACGAUCAGUAGCCGACAUGAGAGGCGGACAGGCCACAUUGGAGAUGCGACCCGGCCCAAAAUCCGACGGGAGGGAGCAGUGGGGAAUAUUGCAGGAUGGGGGAAACCCUGAUGAAGCGACGCCGGGUGAGAGAAGAAGUAUUUCGGUAUGUAAAGCUCUAUCAGCAGGGAAGAAAAUGACGGUACCUGACUAAGAAGCACCGGCUAAAUACGUG
rnacentral:rRNA from 1 species